rnacentral:rRNA from 1 species
GACGAACGCUGGCGGCGUGCCUAAUACAUGCAAGUCGAACGAACUCUGGUAUUGAUUGGUGCUUGCAUCAUGAUUUACAUUUGAGUGAGUGGCGAACUGGUGAGUAACACGUGGGAAACCUGCCCAGAAGCGGGGGAUAACACCUGGAAACAGAUGCUAAUACCGCAUAACAACUUGGACCGCAUGGUCCGAGCUUGAAAGAUGGCUUCGGCUAUCACUUUUGGAUGGUCCCGCGGCGUAUUAGCUAGAUGGUGGGGUAACGGCUCACCAUGGCAAUGAUACGUAGCCGACCUGAGAGGGUAAUCGGCCACAUUGGGACUGAGACACGGCCCAAACUCCUACGGGAGGCAGCAGUAGGGAAUCUUCCACAAUGGACGAAAGUCUGAUGGAGCAACGCCGCGUGAGUGAAGAAGGGUUUCGGCUCGUAAAACUCUGUUGUUAAAGAAGAACAUAUCUGAGAGUAACUGUUCAGGUAUUGACGGUAUUUAACCAGAAAGCCACGGCUAACUACGUGCCAGCAGCCGCGGUAAUACGUAGGUGGCAAGCGUUGUCCGGAUUUAUUGGGCGUAAAGCGAGCGCAGGCGGUUUUUUAAGUCUGAUGUGAAAGCCUUCGGCUCAACCGAAGAAGUGCAUCGGAAACUGGGAAACUUGAGUGCAGAAGAGGACAGUGGAACUCCUUGUGUAGCGGUGAAAUGCGUAGAUAUAUGGAAGAACACAAGUGGCGAAGGCGGCUGUCUGGUCUGUAACUGACGCUGAGGCUCGAAAGUAUGGGUAGCAAACAGGAUUAGAUACCCUGGUAGUCCAUACCGUAAACGAUGAAUGCUAAGUGUUGGAGGGUUUCCGCCCUUCAGUGCUGCAGCUAACGCAUUAAGCAUUCCGCCUGGGGAGUACGGCCGCAAGGCUGAAACUCAAAGGAAUUGACGGGGGCCCGCACAAGCGGUGGAGCAUGUGGUUUAAUUCGAAGCUACGCGAAGAACCUUACCAGGUCUUGACAUACUAUGCAAAUCUAAGAGAUUAGACGUUCCCUUCGGGGACAUGGAUACAGGUGGUGCAUGGUUGUCGUCAGCUCGUGUCGUGAGAUGUUGGGUUAAGUCCCGCAACGAGCGCAACCCUUAUUAUCAGUUGCCAGCAUUAAGUUGGGCACUCUGGUGAGACUGCCGGUGACAAACCGGAGGAAGGUGGGGAUGACGUCAAAUCAUCAUGCCCCUUAUGACCUGGGCUACACACGUGCUACAAUGGAUGGUACAACGAGUUGCGAACUCGCGAGAGUAAGCUAAUCUCUUAAAGCCAUUCUCAGUUCGGAUUGUAGGCUGCAACUCGCCUACAUGAAGUCGGAAUCGCUAGUAAUCGCGGAUCAGCAUGCCGCGGUGAAUACGUUCCCGGGCCUUGUACACACCGCCCGUCACACCAUGAGAGUUUGUAACACCCAAAGUCGGUGGGGUAACCUUUUAGGAACCAGCCGCCUGAGGUGGGACAGAUGAUUAGGGUG